AUGAGAUAUGCAUGAAGUAAGCAAGUGAGCUUAGUCAAUAAUUAGGCGAUAAUGCAAAUCGCUUGUUAACGAUAAAUUCCGUUCUGGACUUGUGCUUACACUAUCAAUAUAUACAGAAAAUGAAGGAACACCGGUGGACCUAUUGACGAAAAGGAACGAGCUAUAAUAAAUAAAAUAAGGAAAUAUGUUGCGGUGUGUAGAAUUAAAAAAACUAUUACUGCACUUGUAGAGGAGAGACGGUGUGAAUCUUCAUAGUCGAAAAGGAGAGUCUUAGAAAGAAGGAUCAUCUUUUUCUAAAGAAGCUUACAAAAAGAUUUACGACGAAAACAAAAGGUAAUGUACUGACAUUUUGCUCCACGGUCCUCCGGCUUAGUAUUAUACCUCGAAGUGGCCACCUUUUUGUUGUAGUGGACAAAGAUGGUUAUAUUACUAUAUAAGGAUUUACGAAAUAAUAAGUAAUUCAGGUUUCAUCCAAUCUUUCUCAUCGUGUUUGUUUCCACGUUUCCUGCUGUUUUUUUCUUGCCAGUCUUGUUUAUAAAAUUGACUCUUCUGAGGAAAACGGCUUGAACCCUACACUGCUUUGCCUCUCUUCAAAUUACAUUUACGCCUCCUUAUUAGCUUCUUUUGUUCUCGACAUUUCUUGAAAACGUUGCAAUGGUUCAUGUAAAAGUCAUUUGCAAUUUCCAUAGUGUUCUAUGCAUCGUCUGUCCUCCACUUUUGGUACGUGGGUCCUCAAUUCUGUUUUAACGUAAUUGAACACGAUCACUAUAUUAUCCAUCACUUAAUCUUGCUACUAUUUAUCUACUGACUUUCCCCUUUACCACGCAGCGCCAUCGACUAAACAUAUUUGUGUUUUUUAUUAUCUCCUUCAUAUUUCAGUAAAUUACAGGUUUUUUCUUUUUAU